AAUCAACGCUGGCGGCGUGCCUCAGACAUGCAAGUCGAACGAUUAAAGCUCUCUUCGGAGAGUGUAUAGAGUGGCGCACGGGUGAGUAACACGUAAGUAAUCUACCCUCGAGUGGGGAAUAACAACCGGAAACGGUUGCUAAUACCGCAUAAUGCAGCGGCACCGCAAGGUGACAGUUGUUAAAGAUUUAUCGCUUGAGGAGGAGCUUGCGGCAGAUUAGCUAGUUGGUAGGGUAACGGCUUACCAAGGCUACGAUCUGUAACCGGUCUAAGAGGACGGUCGGUCACACUGACACUGAAUAACGGGCCAGACUCCUACGGGAGGCAGCAGUCGGGAAUUUUGG
rnacentral:rRNA from 1 species